ACAGCAACCGCAUAGCAAACACGAUGCACCACCACAAAGGCAUGGGACCUGUAAUAAGCACAUAUGGCCAUCUGAGAGCUUUCAGUGGACUCCUUCCUGACAUAGGUCCCUACCUACCAACCAAGGGUGGAAGAAAAGUUUUUACUCCCCUAUUUUAUAAAUAGUGAGUUUAACCCACUUGUGGAUUAUAAAAAUCAACUGACCAGAAUUUUUUUUUAAUGUGGUAGAAAAAUUGUACAGCAGAUGGUAAAGACAAAGCACAGUCUAACCUCGCUGAGAAUUGUACGCCCUGGGACAUGGGAGCUAACAUCGGAAUGCAGUCUGUCCUCCUUUGGAGAACUGCCUAUCAUUGUGGAAAGAUUUACAACCUCGGGGCACCUAGUCCUGGAGCCACCUGCUCUUUACAACCCCCCGCCCCCCCCCCCCCCCCCCGCCCCUACUACCUGUAAUCUGGCUGGCGCCGCUUUCUGUAACUCUGCCCCUCCCCCCUCCCCCCCCAGCCUACAUGACUUGUAACCUGUAAUGAUUGUCCCAUGCUCAUUUUCCCAUACCUGUAAUUCCUACUUCUCCACGUAAUCUUGUCCUUCUACCCAAUAUAAGCAGUUGCCUUAUGGUGGGGUGCAGAGCAGAUUUUUGUGGAUGACCUGCUGCUCUCCCAUACUGCUGGCAUUAUUGGAAUAAAUGCUCAUAUAUGAUUCAACCCUGUCUCUGCUUAAUUGGCUGAAGUAGUGACAGGCUGCCCAGACCCCUUGGUUGUCCGGUUACAAAGGGUAACCAGAAUUUAUGGCCUAGUUAAGAAGAGACUGACAACAUAAAUGCACCAUAACAUACGGUAUUGUGAUGAGUACUAUGAAGAAGUAGCCUAAG